rnacentral:rRNA from 1 species
UACGUAGGGUGCAAGCGUUGUCCGGAAUUAUUGGGCGUAAAGAGCUCGUAGGCGGUCUGUCACGUCGGCUGUGAAAACCCGAGGCUCAACCUCGGGCCUGCAGUCGAUACGGGCAAACUAGAGUACUGCAGGGGAGACUGGAAUUCCUGGUGUAGCGGUGAAAUGCGCAGAUAUCGGGAGGAACACCAGUGGCGAAGGCGGUUGCCUGGAGCUUUGCUGACGCUGAUGCGCGAAAGCGUGGGGAGCGAUCCGG